GACGAACGCUGGCGGCGUGCUUAACACAUGCAAGUCGAACGAAGUGGCGAACGGGUGAGUAACGCGUAAUCAACCUGCCCUUCAGAGGGGGACAACAGUUGGAAACGACUGCUAAUCCCGAUUACGGAAGGGGGGGAUUGCGUCUGAUUAGCUCGUUGGGGGGGUAACGGCCAACCAAGGCGAUGAUAAGUCGCCGGUCUGAGAGGAUGAACGGCCACAUUUGGAAUGAGAAACGGCCCAGACUCCUAAGGGAGGCAGCAGUGGGGAAUCUUUCGCCAUGGACGGAAGGCUGACGGAGCAACGCCGCGUGAGUGAUGACGGCCUUCGGGUUGUAAAGCUCUGUUAAUCGGGACGCGGUACCGGAAUAGAAAGCCACGGCUAACUACGUGCCAGCCGCCGCGGUAAUUC
rnacentral:rRNA from 1 species